rnacentral:lncRNA from 1 species
GCCCACCUUGUGCCAUUUUGCCUAUGAGUUUUGAAGAUACCAAGGACCAGCUGCUUCUGUGAACUUCAUUGACAACUGGAAGGACUUGACAGUGAGAAUCUACCUUAUGGUCUUCUCUUCCUCCAGGCAAGAAGAUUGAAAUUGAUAAUUUUCAUCUUCAGAAAUCUACCCCAGUUUUCUGCCUCUGUUGAGACUUUGUACAACGCCUGGAAUCUGUACCAGCAUUGUAGAUAUUCUGUGUUCUGCUUACUUAACCUAUUUGGGCUAAUGUUGCAACUCUAAGAACUACACAGUUCACAUUUUUUAAAUUAAAGCUGAAAUUUGCAAGC